CCCCGACCGUGUCUGGAAGAUUCAAGGAGUUAAUAAUAAGGCUGGUUUUAGUGUCACGCGGACUGUCAGUGCGGAUCGCUCCGCACAGCCGAUUUGUAUGAACUGCUAGGGAGCGAGCGGUUCCUGCGGACCGCAUUACUCUAAACGCUCCCUAGAAGUUCAUACAGAUUGGCCGGGCGGAGCGGGUCCGCACCGGACGGUCCGCGUGACACUAAAACCAGCCUAAAAGGUUUUCUCAUCCCAAUAGUGGGACGGAGAAAGUACGCCCGUAUUCACAAAAAUUACUAUGAGGUCUCACACAGUGUCUGAACAAACCUCAAUAGGAUUAAAAAAAUAUAUAUUAAAAGAAUAAUUAUUAAUUUGUGCAAUACAAAUUACUAAUUGAGUAUUUCUCAAAAAAAAUGUACGUAACGAAACGGUAGUAACGAAAUAGUAAGGCCAUAAGGCUUGUUAUACAUUGGCGAAAUAUUGUGAAUGCUCUUCAUUUAUUCAAUUCGAAAUAUUUGUAAGUAUGCACCCAAAUACGGGGUAAUAUUAAGGGGUUAGAAAUAAAAUAAGGGAGUAAUCAUUCAUACUAUUUUAAUAAAAUUAUUUUUGUUCCAUCAUGUUUAUCCAUUUUGAGUCGUUCUCUGUAAGCUUUUUGCCUUUCGGCAUUGGUUUUUGGCGGCAUUCCUAAAAAAAACAAAAGAAGUAAUCACAUAAAAACGUAAUCUAAAUGAUUUGAUAAUUUUUUGCUGGUGGCACUUCUGUAAAGCAGAUAGUAUCCAAUCCUUUUGUUAUUAACGCUCUAUAUUUUUUGAAAUUAAUUAAGUAGUGAAUAUUGCUAUGCUUAGUCAGGUAAUAACAGUACACUCAGCAUUAUGUUGUACUUUUUCGUAACGUAACGAAAUUUGCAAAAAACGUAACGAAAUAUUAGACAAAAUGAGAUCAGAAACAAGUAUUUUUUUGAUAAAAUUUGUUACAUCAAAUAUAAAAGCUUACUAAAUGUUCGUACCACACGUAUUACAAAAAAUGGUUAAAUGAAGACUUACCGUUCUAUAUAAAAUCGCUGAUUUUACUGCCUGUUACGAAAAAGUAAUCCCACAAAACACACACGUUUUCACUAAUUUUCGCGAUAGAUGUUAUGGCGGAGACGUCAGGCCAACAGCCAUUCAGAGUGCAGCUAUUGUUGUCCGUGUAAAAUAAAUACGGAAUUGUUCAGAAACCAUGGGAAAGUAGAAAUAAAUCGUAACUAAAGAGUAAAUAACGAAAUAGUAAAUGAGAGCGACUCAUUUUGUUUUUUUGCUUUAAAUUGCGCCAAUUCAUUAUGACACCCCAUAGAAAAUCAAUUUGAUACAGAAACUGCGAUUACUGUAGAACGAUAAUACAAAGAAAUUUACAAUAAUUUAGUUACGUAUCGCAUUUUAUGAAACAAAAAUACAUGAAAAAGCUAGGGUGGCAAACAGGUUUUUGUAUGAAAGGUAAAAAAGGACUAUUUUUAAAAUAUCUAAAUAUUUGGUAAUAAGUAGGAUUAUAGCUAUAAUUCUUCGUUAUCUUAAAGAUUAAUAUUCAUCCUUUAAAAUUGUGUGUGUUUUUUUUGUGUGAUGAUUUAUAAAUAUAAAACUUUUGAACUGUUUCAAAGCACACUUUUUUUUUUCAAAAUGUACAUUUUUUUGAGAAACACUCAAUUAUUCUCCUAAUUUUUCCGUUAGCCCUAAGCUAAAUAUUACGCUUACGUGUCACCAGUGGGCUCACCACAUUAGUCGAGCGGUGAUCAUUCAUUCAUCAUCAUCAUCAUUUCAGUCACAGGACGUCCACUGCUGAACAUAGGCCUCCCCCAAUGAUUUCCACAUUGUCACAUUUCGUUUCUCCACUGCUGGACAAAGGCCUCCCCCACAGGUUUUCACAACGACCGUUCCUGUGCUGUCGCAUCCAGGUGUUUCUCAAAUCCUUUACUAGACGGUUCAGAUUGGGAAGCCAGCGUACACUACAAUUUCCCAUGGUUGCCACUCGAAAAUCGAAGUAAUUAAUUUUAUAAAUAAAAUAAUAAAUAAUGCCCGUUUUCACCAUCAAUCCCUAAUUUUUAAGUGACCCCUCAUCAUCAUCAUUAUUUCAGCCACAGGACAUCCACUGCUGAACAUAGGCCUCCCCCAAUGAUUUUCACAUUCGCUGGUUGGUAGCGGCCUGCAUCCAACGCCUUCCCGCUACCUUUAUGAGGUUGUAGGUCCACUUCGCGGGUGGACCAUAUGGGUCCUUAAAAAUUAGGGAUUGUUGGUGAAAACGGACAUAAGGGAUAUUAACUAACUAAUGUCCUAACAACACUAGGAUCACUACAUAAUGGGAUUGUCUGGGAAUCGAACCCAGAACUUCCGAAUCAAGUCUCCAUACACUAGCUAUACCAUAGAGUAAUUAAUUAACUAAUUCAUUCAACAACACAGUGUUUUGGAACAAUCUGUUUCAUAUUUACUCCUAAAAUUGGGACACACCACCAUGUGCAUUGCUUGGGAAUCGAACCCAGGACCCUUAGGGCGAGAGAAUCGAACUCUCAAACCACUAGAACCAAUGAUGAUUCAGUAAAUAGAGACUAGGGGAGUUAUCCUACAAAAGAUCCAGUGGUUAUGAUUUUUUUGAUAUGUUGUAGUUUGGUUAGUAAUGAAAAAUGUAAUUUAUACUCAAGACUUAGCACUAGUAUAAUAAAAAGCCUUGUUUUUUUUUUAAAUCGGUUUUCUCAUUCAUUAUCGGAAAAUUAAUUAUGAAUAGAUAGAGUCAGUUCAAGAUGAUAUUGUUAUCAGGUACCAAACUUGAGGGUACUUUUAGAAAAACCGUGAGUAAGCACCCUUUACCUCCCUAAAUUAUCGAUUACCCAACUAUACAGUGUAUAGAACAAAAUUUUAAAGAAUUGUGAAGUGAAAACUUGCAAAAAUAAUGGAAAAGUUCAGUGUGUUUGAUGACCACCUGACUUUUGGGAGUUUUGGAUCAUUGCUGUCUGAAGUGAAGGUAAGGAUUUCGUCCUCCUAACUUAAUAGGUUUCAUUCAAGAUAUGUGCCACUGAAUUUACUGUGGCACUUUGACUGCAUAAAAAAAACUUAUGAUUUUUCAUUACUACAACCAUUAUUUAGCCUACAACAUACAAAAAAAUCAGGGAGUCUUGCAGGGUAAAAGUCACAAUUCAUGGAACCAUCAACUAUUGAACAAUAAUACAAAAGUAAGUAAUUUUAUCACCAAAUCCUCAGAAUACAGAACAAACCAGAAACCGUCAACGGGCGUAAAUGUGUAUUCAUAUAAAGUACUCCAAAUCGCACUACUUUGACUUUAAAGCAAUCAGUCAAUGGCCGGCGCGCGCAUUGUUUACAUAUCCGUCAGAUUGACACUUUAUAAUUAAAUUAUGCCGUCUUGUGCCGUUCCAACAUGUAAGAAUGCUACUGGAAUUACGAAGAAAGUGCAUGGGAUCAUGUUUUAUCCGAUACACAGCCAGAGUUGCCUCGCAAUAAAAUUUAAGUAUUGGUGAUGUUUUUGAUUUGGAUUCUGUUUUUCACUCCAAGAAAAGUUAAACUAAAAGCACUACUGCGCCGUAAACAAAUGUUUUGUUGUCGAUAUGUUUACAUAAUAAAGAACCUUAAGUUUC